rnacentral:rRNA from 1 species
UACGUAGGGUGCGAGCGUUAAUCGGAAUUACUGGGCGUAAAGCGUGCGCAGGCGGUUUUGUAAGCCAGAUGUGAAAUCCCCGGGCUUAACCUGGGAAUGGCAUUUGGGGACUGCAAGGCUGGAGUGUGGCAGAGGAGACUGGAAUUCCUGGUGUAGCAGUGAAAUGCGUAGAUAUCAGGAGGAAUACCGAUGGCGAAGGCAGGUCUCUGGGCUG